rnacentral:rRNA from 1 species
GAUGAACGCUGGCGGCGUGCCUAAUACAUGCAAGUCGAGCGAACAGACGAGGAGCUUGCUCCUCUGACGUUAGCGGCGGACGGGUGAGUAACACGUGGAUAACCUACCUAUAAGACUGGGAUAACUUCGGGAAACCGGAGCUAAUACCGGAUAAUAUAUUGAACCGCAUGGUUCAAUAGUGAAAGACGGUUUUGCUGUCACUUAUAGAUGGAUCCGCGCCGCAUUAACUAGUUGGUAAGGUAACGGCUUACCAAGGCAACGAUGCGUAGCCGACCUGAGAGGGUGAUCGGCCACACUGGAACUGAGACACGGUCCAGACUCCUACGGGAGGCAGCAGUAGGGAAUCGUACGCAAUGGGCGAAAGCCUGACGGAGCAACGCCGCGUGAGAGAUGAAGGUCUUCGGAGCGUAAAACUCUGUUAUUAGGGAAGAACAAAUGUGUAAGUAACUAUGCACGUCUUGACGGUACCUAAUCAGAAAGCCACGGCUAACUACGUG